GAACUGGCAAUAAGAAUCGAGAAGAGAUUUGACCUUCGUCAUCGCUCCAGGGUGGUGGACAUUCCUCAACCGGCCGCCUCCCCCACCCACUCCCACCCUAACCCCCGGGCUGAACCGGAGCCCAUGCAGCUGGGUGGACUGCGCCUUACCGCUAAGGAGAAGGAGCGUCGCAUCACAAACCGUCUCUGCAUGUACUGUGGCGCGGCCACCCACUUCGUGUCAACCUGUCCAGUAAAAGCCAGCGCUCGACAGUAGAGGAGGGAUUACUGGCGAGCGCUACUUCCAUCUCUCCGUCAAAAUCGUGCACCCUGAUUCCAGUAGCCCUGCGGUGGGCGGGGUCAUCGGUCUCAUGUAACGCCUUAAUAGACUCUGGGGCAGAAGGGAAUUUUCUCGAUGAGACAUGGGCCCGAAAGCAAGAUCCAGCGUCCGGUCCCGCCGAACAGGAGGAGUCCCAGCUGAACUACGGCCAGCCGGCUUUGUCGGGAACGACGGGCAGAGCGCUCCUCUCCCCAGCCCUCGACCUCUAAUGCCCCGUUUCACCGGGAGAUCUUCUGUUCCCCUUUUUCUCUGAAGACCUCAGUUGCUGUUUUUGUGCCUGCCUUCGCGGCGUCCUCUAAGUUUGCACCUUCCUAUUAAAAGCAUUAUUUUUCCUGCA